AACGAACGCUGGCGGCAUGCCUAACACAUGCAAGUCGAACGGAAACUCCCGGCUUAGUGGCGCACGGGUGCGUACCGCGUGGGAAUUUGCACCUGGCUUCCGAAUAACUGUCAGUAAUGAAUCCUAAUACAGCUUGAAGUCUUCGCACCAAAGAUUUCUUGGCACGGGAUGGGCCCGCGUAGGGUUCGGUAGUUGGUGGGGUAAAGGCCGGCCAAGCGGUCGUUCCUUAGCUGGUCUGGGAGGAGGAUUAGCCCCACUGGGACUGAGACACGGCCCAGACUCCGACGGAAGGCAGCAGUGGGGAAUAUUGGACGAUGAACGCAAGUCUGAUCCAGCAAUGCCGCGUGAGUGAUGAAGGCCUUAGGGUUGUAAAGCUCUUUUACCAGGGAUGAGAGUGACAGUACCGGGUGAAUAAGCUCCGGCUAACUCCGUG
rnacentral:rRNA from 1 species